rnacentral:lncRNA from 1 species
CAUCCCUAAACUUUAGCACCCAAGAUGUUCAGAAUAUUCUAACUUUUAAUAGAAAUGAAAGGAAUUACAUAAAAAAGGGAUUUUCAGAGUACAGAUAUGUCGUGGAGUAAUCUUGGUAGGUAGGAUCUAAGUCACAUAAUUCACCAGUCACCCCUCCCGCUAUGCGAAUUGGUUUGCGAAUUUUUGAAUUUACCCCAAAUUC